rnacentral:rRNA from 1 species
AACGAACGCUGGCGGCAGGCCUAACACAUGCAAGUCGAGCGAGGACUUCGGUUCUAGCGGCGGACGGGUGAGUAACGCGUGGGAAUGUGCCCUUCUCUACGGAAUAGCCCUGGGAAACUGGGAGUAAUACCGUAUACGCCCUAUUGGGGAAAGAUUUAUCGGAGAAGGAUCAGCCCGCGUUGGAUUAGGUAGUUGGUAGGGUAAUGGCCUACCAAGCCGACGAUCCAUAGCUGGUUUGAGAGGAUGAUCAGCCACACUGGGACUGAGACACGGCCCAGACUCCUACGGGAGGCAGCAGUGGGGAAUCUUAGAAAAUGGGGGCAACCCUGAUCUAGCCAUGCCGCGUGAGUGAUGAAGGCCUUAGGGUUGUAAAGCUCUUUCAGCUGGGAAGAUAAUGACGGUACCAGCAGAAGAAGCCCCGGCUAACUCCGUG